AUUGAACGCUGGCGGCAUGCUUUACACAUGCAAGUCGGACGAGUGGCGAACGGGUGAGUAAUAUAUUGGAACGUACCGAGUAAUGGGGGAUAAACAAUCGAAAGAUUGGCUAAUACCGCAUAGUAUUCGAGCGGCCAAUAUCUGAUUAGCUAGUUGGUGGGGUAAAGGCCUACCAAGGCGGCGAUCAGUAGCGGGUCUGAGAGGAUGAACCGCCACAUGGGAACGGAGACACGGCCACGACUCCUACGGGAGGAAGCAGUGGGAAAUUUGGGAAAAUGGGCGCAAGCCUGAUCCAGCCAUGCCGCGUGUCUGAAGAAGGCCUUCGGGUUUUAAAGGAUUUUUGUUAGGGAAGCGGUACCUAAAGAAUAAGCACCGGCUAAUUCCGUGCCAGCAGCCGCGGUAAUAC
rnacentral:rRNA from 1 species